rfam:Cucumis melo, WGS project CAJI01000000 data, contig: 12015
AUCCCUUCGAGGACAUCUGAUAAAAUUGAAACAAUAGAGAGAAGAUUAGCAUGGGGCAUGCACGGAAAUGCCAAGAAACUACAAGAACAUCAAGAUGUUACU